UCAAAGAUAAGCCAUGCAUGUCUAAGUACAAGCGUAAAUAAAGUGAAACCGCAAAAGGCUCAUUAUAUCAGUUAUGGUUCCUUAGAUCGUAUCCACAAUUACUUGGAUAACUGUGGUAAUUCUAGAGCUAAUACAUGCAUUUAAAGAGAAACCAGUAAAAUGGGAUCUCUGCUCUUAUUAGAUUUAAACCAAUGGGGAGUGCGCAAGCAUUCUCAAAUUGAAUGGUUGAACUCUGGAUAAUUUGUUGAUCGCAUGGUCUCGUACCGGCGACGGAUCUUUCAAAUGUCUGCCCUAUCAACUAUUGAAGGUAGUGUCUUGGACUACCUUGGUUGCAACGGGUAACGGGGAAUCAGGGUUCGAUUCCGGAGAGGGAGCCUGAGAAACGGCUACCACAUCUAAGGAAGGCAGCAGGCGCGUAAAUUACCCACUCCCGGCACGGGGAGGUAGUGACGAAAAAUAACAAUACAAGACUCACAUCCGAGGCCUUGUAAUUGGAAUGAGUACAAUAUAAAUCCUUUAACAAGGAUCAAUUGGAGGGCAAGUCUAGUGCCAGCAGCCGCGGUAAUUCUAGCUCCAAUAGCGUAUAUUAAAGUUGUUGCGGUUAAAACGUUCGUAGUUGAACUUGUGUUUCGCACGGGCAGUACCUAGGACUAGGUAACUAGGACGGUACGUUGUCUUAUCUUUCCAAUGUUCUUCAUCGGAUUUGGAAAAAGUGCGUGAACGUAUUAUCGGCGUGUUCGAUUUUCGAUUUAAUCGAUCGACGAUCGUUCACAUAAGCCCAUUUCAGUGCUCUUCAUCGAGUGUUGCUGUGGGCCGAUACAAAUUACUUUGAACAAAUUAGAGUGCUUAAAGCAGGCUUGUAAUGCCUGAAUAUUUUGUGCAUGGAAUAAUGGAAUAGGACAUCUGUUCUACUUUCAUUGGUUUUUUAGGCCAAGAUGUAAUGAUUAAUAGAAGCAGUUGGGGGCAUUAGUAUUACAACGCGAGAGGUGAAAUUCUUAGACCGUUGUAAGACUGACUAAAGCGAAAGCAUUUGCCAAAGAUGUUUUCAUUUAAUCAAGAACGAAAGUUAGAGNNNNNNNNNNNNNNNNNNNNNNNNNNNNNUCUAACCAUAAACGAUGCCAGCUAGCAAUUGGAUGUAGCUACUACUAUGGCUCUUUCAGUCGCUUCUCGGGAAACCAAAGCUUUUGGGCUCCGGGGGAAGUAUGGUUGCAAAGCUGAAACUUAAAGGAAUUGACGGAAGGGCACCACCAGGAGUGGAGCCUGCGGCUUAAUUUGACUCAACACGGGAAAACUUACCAGGUCCGAACAUGAAUGAGUAAGACAGAUUGAUAGCUCUUUCUCGAAUCUAUGGGUGGUGGUGCAUGGUCGUUCUUAGUUCGUGGAGUGGUUUGUCUGGUUAAUUCCGAUAACGAACGAGACUCAAAUAUAUUAAAUAGAUGCAUUCAGGAUUAUGGUUUUGAAGCUUUGCAUACCCCGUUUAUCAUUGGUGGGAAUGGAUGCGGUUAACGCCGUAUCCUUUUUGCUGUGAUGAAUUUGUGGUUGUGUAGGUGGAGCCAUACCUGUUUGUUUGUCUAGUUACACAAAAUAGACACUUAGCUUCUUAAAUGGACAAAUUGUGACUAACAAUAAUGAGAUUGAGCAAUAACAGGUCUGUAAUGCCCUUAGAUGUCCUGGGCUGCACGCGCGCUACAAUGAAGGUAUCAACGUGUGUUUCCUAGGCCGAGAGGUCCGGGCAAACCGAUGAACCACCUUCUUGCUUGGGAUUGUGAACUGAAACUGUUCACAUGAACCUGGAAUUCCCAGUAAGUGCGAGUCAUUAACUCGCAUUGAUUAUGUCCCUGCCCUUUGUACACACCGCCCGUCGCUACUACCGAUUGAAUUGUUUAGUGAGGUCUCCGGACGUGAUCACUUCGACGCUUUCUUGUGUUGCAGUUGCUUCACCGAAGUUGACCGAACUUGGUUAUUUAGAGGAAGUAAAAGUCGUACAAGGUUCC
rnacentral:rRNA from 1 species